CGGGGUGCAGCAGGCGCGAAAACUUUACAAUGCCGGCAACGGCGAUAAGGGAACCUCGAGUGCCAGGUUACAAAUCUGGCUGUCGUGAUGCCUAAAAAGCAUUGCAUAGCAAGGGCCGGGCGAGACCGGUGCCAGCCGCCGCGGUAACACCGGCGGCUCGAGUGGUAACCGUUAUUAUUGGGUCUAAAGGGUCUGUAGCCGGCCGGGUAAGUCUCUUGGGAAAUCUGGCAGCUUAACUGUCAGGCUUUCAGGAGAUACUGCCUGGCUCGAGGCCGGGAGAGGUGAGAGGUACUUCAGGGGUAGGGGUGAAAUCUUGUAAUCCUUGAAGGACCACCAGUGGCGAAGGCGUCUCACCAGAACGGACCUGACGGCAAGGGACGAAAGCUAGGGGCACGAACCGGAUUAGAUACCCGGGUAGUCCUAGCCGUAAACGAUACUCGCUAGGUGUCGGCCACGGUGCGACCGUGGUCGGUGCCGUAGGGAAGCCGUGAAGCGAGCCACCUGGGAAGUACGGCCGCAAGGCUGAAACUUAAAGGAAUUGGCGGGGGAGCACAAGGGCGAAUCGCG
rnacentral:rRNA from 1 species